rnacentral:tRNA from 1 species
UCCCUGAUGGUCCAGUGGUUAGGAUUCGGCGCUGUCACUGCCGGGGCCCGGGUUCAAUCCCUGGUCGGGGAA